UUAAUCCGUCAUCCCGGCGGAGGCCGGGAUCUCGGGAGGCCAGGGCGCGCCCUCAUCUCCUGAGGCCCCGGCCUCCGCCGGGGCGACGUGGGAGA
rnacentral:pre_miRNA from 1 species